rnacentral:rRNA from 1 species
CUACGGGUUGCAGCAGUGAGGAAUAUUGCACAAUGGGGGAAACCCUGAUGCAGCAACGCCGCGUGGAGGAUGACGCAUUUCGGUGUGUAAACUCCUUUUAUAUGUCAAGAAAAUGACGGUAGCAUAUGAAUAAGCACCGGCUAACUCCGUGCCAGCAGCCGCGGUAAUACGGAGGGUGCAAGCGUUACUCGGAAUCACUGGGCGUAAAGGACGCGUAGGCUGGUUGGUAAGUCAGGUGUGAAAUCCUACAGCUUAACUGUAGAACUGCACUUGAAACUACCAACCUAGAGUAUGGGAGGGGGAGAUGGAAUUAGUGGUGUAGGGGUAAAAUCCGUAGAUAUCACUAGGAAUACCGAAAGCGAAGGCGAUCUCCUGGAACAUAACUGACGCUAAGGCGUGAAAGCGUGGGGAGCAAACAGGAUUAGAUACCCUCGUAGUC